GGGAUCCGACAGUACUUGGGUCGGACUUUAGGUCACGCUUUAUAUUCUUUUUACUCAUUCUUCCUUCUCACACUUUGAGAUUCUCCACAAACCCUAGAAACCAAAGCUGUUCAUGUGCCAUUUCUUCUUCCUUUUUACUCAUUCCAAUUCUAAACCUCAAUUCAAUGAGAACCAACAGUUCUUUAUUGUUGCUUGAAUAUCUGACAUCUAUUAUUCGAUCGAUUAGAUUAUAGAAGGUUUUGGUUAACAUGUAUAAUCUGAUCUUAUAUAUCCUUUCCCACACAACGACAAAUCAAUACAUUGAACCAGAGGGUUGUUACAAUCAAAAACCCUAAAUCCAGUGUUUUCUUUCAUCCUUUGCUUCCCAAUUGAAAGAACCCUAGAUCUCAUCUCUCUACCUGGUAACUGAUUGUGGUUGAUUGGGUGAAGCAACUUACGCAUAUACGAGGGUAUACCGAUCAGAUGGUUGAAGAUACAUAUGCGGUGAUUUAUACUAUUGGAUCGUAUCGGCUCGGGGUAACCGUUAGAGGAUUUUAGCUGACGGUAAUUGGUUGUGUAAUGUCAAACUUUGGUGGUAGGUUCAUGAUCCUGGGGCAGACAUUGACACCUUAUGUGUCUGGCCUUCUUAUGUGAAUCGAGAUGCAGAUUUCUUCUUUGUAUUGCACGACAUACUAAGCGGGAUGGAGGAAGUUACUGAACUUCAACCGAUUCCUGAUGCUCAUGUUCCAGUCAUGAAGUUCAAAUUUGAUGGGAUAUCUAUUGAUCUUCUUUACGCCAGUGUUUCACUUUUGGUUGUGCCAGACAAUCUAGACAUCUCCGAUGUCUCUGUAUUGUACGACGUUGAUGAGCCUACAGUUAGAAGCCUUAACGGAUGUAGGGUCACUGAUCAGAUUCUUAAACACGUUCCAAAUGUUGAGCAUUUUCGUACAACAUUCCGAUGUUUAAAGUAUUGGGCCAAAGAGCGUGGCGUUUAUUCAAACGUGACGGGAUUUCUCGGCAGUGUAAACUAGGCGCUUUUGGUGGCACGGGUAUGUCAAUUUUAUCCAAACGGUAUUCCGAGUAUUAGGAAUACUAUUAAGAAUAGCAGUUGUUUAUAGGUAUAAAUUCGUCUUUAUUGUAUUCAUAUUUCUUAUCUGAUGUCAGAGGUUGUUUUUAGAGCUUUUACUAGAUCAACUAUUUAGACUAGGGAUACUGAUGCAAAACAUCUCGGUAGAAGUUUAAUACAUAUGUAAAUUGUUGUUCCAUACCAGGUGUAGGUAUGUGCUUAUGGGCUGUUUGGCUAUGUUCUGUUUCAAACACGCUGAAUAAAGUACUUAACUGCAAAUGGAAAAUGAGACAUGUCUAAAUUUACCAAACUGUAUUUGGCAUGGUUUUAGUUAUGAUAAAACGUAUUUGCGGGUCAGAUUCGAUAUACCAUUUGAGGCAUUAAACCUUUCCUUUUUUACAAAAGUAAGUGGAUUGUUUCGAAGUGCUUCAGGUCCGCGAGAGGGAGAGCCGCAACAAUAACUAUGAUUUCGAGUAAUUUUCUGCCACUGGUUCAGCCCAGCCAGAUGUCGAGGAGGACUUGAAAGCUUACGUCGGCAACGAUUCUCAAAGGCCUCAACUUAUGGACAUCAAAGCAUGUUAUCUAUCAUUAAAUGUCUCGCAAAAUAGGUUAUCUAUCAUUACUUUCUCGGGUUUGAUUAAGUAUUACUUUUAUACCUUUCUGAAAAAUUAGCAUUAAUGCUUCACUUUAUGAGUUUCGAUGUGUAUUCACUGGAUUGCUUAACUGGGUGUAUAUGUUAUGUUUUCGCACAUCAACCGCAUUCAUGUGUCGACGUGUUGAUUUCUGGUAUCUCUACCCCUCUGGUGGUUUCCAUUUCCUCUGUGGUUUUGGCAACGACUAUGCAAAUCGCAGACACAGCCAACCUGAAACUCCAAAAAAGUGCUUCACACAUCAAGGUAAGCAAAAAUUGGAACACUCAUUUCAUGUAAUUCGGGUUGUAAUUUAUCAAGAAUCAAAUAGUGGAGGCAACCCGAACCAAUGCUUCAGAUUCCCGAUUGAAGCCUUUGGCAGCAGUCGACCUGCUGUUGUAUGCAUCUUAGCGGUGAUACUCUUCGGCGCAGCCAUAAUAUCAUCCGUGAAAACUAGCUACAGCAAGAUACAAUGCCAGAUUCAGUCAGAGCUCUAAUGGGACAAACAAGAGUAUUUGAGUUUCGUUUCAGCAACCCCUUAUAUGCAACGUCAACACGAUUCGUUAUAAUCAACCGUGUUCUUGACCCAACAGUUCCUAAGGGGUCUACUAUAGCGAAGAGCUGAAGUUUUCUAGGGACCAUGGCAACAAUGUGCACCCAUUCGCUGGCGAAGAGCCUGUAUUUUGUUGGAAAAUGACCUCUUUGUCCUCAACCACAAGUAAAGCAUGUGUCGCUUUUAUAAACUUCGUUGUCUAUCCAUCUCUGAAUUUGGAUUUGAAUGUUUAUAUAAAUUUCAUCUUUUAACUUUUUAUGUUUUCAUGAAGUUCCAUAUUAAGAAUUUCAUCUUCAACUUUUUAUGUUUUCAUGCAGUUUGUAUACUUUAUGGAUCAUGGAUUUUCCAUGUGGUCUUAUUAAAGAAGUUGUCAAAGGAUAUAUGGAAAAUAAGCACCUGGGCUAUUUUCUUCUUAAUGAUAAAUUUAUAUUUUUGCACUUUAGAUUUCAAUCAUGUUGGGCAAACGAGGUCCCUAAACCUAAACCAUGGCUUUUAAGGGUCUUAUAUCAUAGUCUUGGAGGAAGGUUUGUCUAAAGACUUUAUGUUACAAAGCUUUGUUGGCCGUUACAAAUAUUUUCACUAAGAAUGAGAAAGUCUAAAUAUGUCAUGUUUGUUUGAUUAAAGGUUUUGGUGGGAGGCUUUUGGAAGGUACCCUAUGAAUACUUCAGUUCUGAGUUCAUUGAUUUUUGCAUAGUUUUGAAAAAGUAUAAUGAAUAUAUCAUGAAUUUUGACUUUUUGAUGAGUUACUCACUUUGUAAUAUAUGGACAUUUUUGAAACUCAAUAUAUCAUAUAUGAAUUCCUUAUUACUGAACCUAGCAAUGAACAUUAGAUAAGAUAAAGGUAAUAAUAUUGUUCUUCCUUUGCUCAUUUGUAGAUCGGCAAUGAUCUUGCUCAAUUUGUUGGGCCACUGAUUCUGAACCAAUUGUUAUUGGCUAUGCAAGAAGGUGGUCCAGCUCAGAUUGGUUACAUCUAUGCAUUUUUAAUUUUUGUUGGAGUGGUACAACUUCUAUAACUUUCUUUUUUAUUAGCAUUUUUGUAUACUAAAAGAUAUGUAUGACUUCCAAACAUUCUCUGAUGCAUCCGAUUAUAUGCUUCUUUAGUCAUUGUUUGAUACUUACUUCUGUUUCUACUACAUCGUUUUAACUUAAUUUUAAGGUUUACAGAUAGUUAUUACUAUAUUGGUUAUAAAUUUAGGUACUUGGUGUGCUAUUUGAGGCUCAAUGCUUACUUCUGUUAUUA